CAUCUGUAUAAUAAAAACCAUCCUUACAAUUACAAAUAAAAUUCAUUUGGACACAACUGAGUGCCACUUAGCACUGGGUGUGUUUGGUUGAAGGGAUAUCCUCCCAGAGACAGGGAUAACCACUUUUUUCUAUGGUUGCCAUGCGUUUGAAUCUGGGGCGAGGAGGGAUAGAGUCAACCAGAUGCUGGGAAUAUUCUCCAAAACAAAGGAUGUGGC
rnacentral:lncRNA from 1 species